rnacentral:rRNA from 1 species
GACGAACCGAGCGAACGUUGUUCGGAAUCACUGGGCUUAAAGGGCGCGUAGGCGGGCGGUCAAGUCAGGGGUGAAAGCCCCCAGCUCAACUGGGGAAGUGCCUCUGAUACUGGCCGUCUCGAGGGGGAUAGGGGCGUGCGGAACUUCCGGUGGAGCGGUGAAAUGCGUAGAUAUCGGAAGGAACAUCGGUGGCGAAAGCGGCGCGCUGGAUCCCUUCUGACGCUGAGGCGCGAAAGCCAGGGGAGCGAACGGG